rnacentral:rRNA from 1 species
CGCCCGUCGCUCCUACCGAUUGGGUGUGCUGGUGAAGUGUUCGGAUUGACGGCUCGGAGCGGUUUCCGCCCCCUGCCGCCGAGAAGUUCAUUAAACCCUCCCACCUAGAGGAAGGAGAAGUCGUAACAAGGUUUCC